CCCGCUGCCGGGCCGAGCGCGGUUCCAGCCGCCCCGCCGGCUCCCGGAGCCCGGAGACCGCGUUCUCUGGCCCACGAGGCGCCGUGUCAGUGCCCGGGCACCGGGAGCCGCUCGCAGGCCGCUCCUCCCCCGUGAGGCAGGACUGGUGCAAAGGGCCCCGCUGAGCGCGGCUGGCGGUGAAGGGAGGGAUGUGAGACUAAACGAACCAGACUCCUGGAUCUGUGCAAAAACAGCAGAGGGGAAACCUGCGCUUGGCAGGGCCGAGAGGGCACUCCACAGCCCUGGCACCUGAAGCUCCUGAGGGGUGGAUUCUGUAGUGGGAGUUUUCCGUCAGGCCCGUGACAGUCGGUGCAGGAGUGCCCAGCAGUGUCACGUGGCCUAGCGCCUUUUCGUGUUUAUCACUAGGAAAAUAGAUCUGGUUUUUUCCUCCACGGCCCUAACAAAAGUGGAAGAUAAUGCCUUACAGAUUAAAAGGAAAAACAGCUGUCAGACUGAUAGGUGCUUGAGUCCCUGAGGAAUUAGUACUGUUCAUUUAUGAGCUCUGGCCUACGUUCUAGAUAGAACCGAAACACCUUGCAUUAUCAUUCUCAUGGUGCGGGGGUUGUGUCGUUCAUGAAACAACACGUGAUUAUCAGAAAGCCUAGUCACUCCUAAAGUCCUUUUAUUUAAGAGUCCAGUUACUCGCACUCCUUUUGCAGGUUCGGCGGGAGGCAGUAGAGGGUGCUGUGAUUGCACACACAGAAAUGAAGCUGCCUGUAGAACAAGGAAAUAAAUACCCAAGAAGCAGGUCAUUGCAACACGGCCAUGGUUUAUGAAAAUCUACCAGUUUAUUAAGGCGUUCUCAGGGGACUCCAUCAGUGCUGUGGUUGGAAGUAAGGAUAGGCCAAAGCCCUGUAGAAGUGUAGGAAGCGAUGGUCCCUGCCCCUGCCAGCCUGCAGUCAGUGGGCACAGCAAGCGAAGAUGGGUGGAUGCAUGGAGUCAUUGCUGACACAUACUUCCUCUAACAACCCUGGCUGGUUGCUGGAGAAGUAACACACUCCUGACUACAAGAGGUUGUUUUGUCAGAAAUCAGAGUAGGGUUGUGUUUUCAAGAGAGCCCUGAACAUGGACAAUGUAUGAGUGUUGCAGGUUUUUAUAGGCAACUUGUGAAAGAGCAGAAAUGGAAAAACUAAAACAAUUGCAACAUACUCCCCCUUGGAAACUACCAUGGUCACAGGCACUGGAAGGCAGAAGUACAUUUCCACUCAUGCUUGCCAAAAGAGAAGAUGGGUGGUCUCGUAGCUGAAACAAAGGGACUGCAACCCUCACCUGAAUUCUGACUGUUGACUUCACCAGAGAGGUCUUGAGUUGCCAUAAACUGCUCUCCUAACUUCUCUGUGCCAUAGCUCUUCUUUAUAAAGGUGGAGAAGCAUUAUAUGUAGUCAUUCUCUUAAACCUCUGACACAACAAAAAGCAUCAAUGCCUGUGGGACGACACCACAGGGAUUUUUUCCCUUAGUCUCCCUGCUCUGUUCGGUUGCUGAGGGUUGCUGCAGCCGUAGUGGUGCCCAUCUCGAUGCAGCUGAAGUGUCAGUAGCAGUGUAGGUGCCACAGCAGAGACUCUCUACAAAGAUACAGGGCAUCCACCUCUCCAGGCAGAUUCUUUGCAGGAAUCUGUGACACUAAAGCUCUGGUUCUGCUGCAUGCUGGAAGAAGGGACAAAGAGGAAACUGCUGUGAAGAGCUCCAGAGAGUUGCAUGAAGGUUACAUUUUUCAAAUCUGUUGUUUUAUCAGCAAUUUUUUUGAAAAUAUAUUUGUCUCACUGCUAAUAAAAGAAGUGGCUCAAC